rnacentral:rRNA from 1 species
CAGCCGCCGCGGGAAUACGAAGGGGGCUAGCGUUGUUCGGAAUCACUGGGCGUAAAGGGUGCGUAGGCGGAUCCUUAAGUCAGGGGUGAAACCCCGAGGCUCAACCUCGGAACUGCCUUUGAUACUGGGGAUCUUGAGUCCGGAAGAGGUGAGUGGAACUGCGAGUGUAGAGGUGAAAUUCGUAGAUAUUCGCAAGAACACCGGUGGCGAAGGCGGCUCACUGGUCCGGAACUGACGCUGAGGCACGACAGCGUGGGGAGCAAACAGGAUUAGAUACCCCUGUAGUCCCUGUCUCUUAUAC